UAACACAUGCAAGUCGAACGAUGAAGCCCUUCGGGGUGGAUUAGUGGCGAACGGGUGAGUAACACGUGGGCAAUCUGCCCUUCACUCUGGGACAAGCCCUGGAAACGGGGUCUAAUACCGGAUAACACUCUGUCCCGCAUGGGACGGGGUUAAAAGCUCCGKCGGUGAAGGAUGAGCCCGCGGCCUAUCAGCUUGUUGGUGGGGUGAUGGCCUACCAAGGCGACGACGGGUAGCCGGCCUGAGAGGGCGACCGGCCACACUGGGACUGAGACACGGCCCAGACUCCUACGGGAGGCAGCAGUGGGGAAUAUUGCACAAUGGGCGAAAGCCUGAUGCAGCGACGCCGCGUGAGGGAUGACGGCCUUCGGGUUGUAAACCUCUUUCAGCAGGGAAGAAGCGAGAGU
rnacentral:rRNA from 1 species